AAUGUAACAGGGUUGGUUAUGUUUCCACUUGCCUCUAAAGAAAUGUAUAUUUAAUGUUCAAGCAUUCUUAUUGGUUAGUUCAACUCUGAUGACAAUAAGGUGUGUUGUGAUUGGCCCCGUUUGCAGAUGGGGGGAGAUCGCGAACGUCAGGUCUCCCCAGUAUGAAAAUGUGAUGCAAGGGAUUUUGUCAUCGACAGCCAUCAACACUGUUAAGCCCUGCACAACUAACGUGCUGUUUCCCAUUUAACAACAGAAAUAAAUGAUGCUCAACUGGGA